rnacentral:rRNA from 1 species
GUGUCAGCAGCCGCGGUAAUACAGAGGGUGCAAGCGUUGCUCGGAAUUAUUGGGCGUAAAGGGUAGGUAGGUGGUCUCAUUUGUCUGGGGUGAAAUCCUAGGGCUUAACCCUAGAAGUGCCCCAGAAACGGUGAGACUGGAGUCCUGGAGAGGGUCGUGGAAUUCCCGGUGUAGCGGUGAAAUGCGUAGAGAUCGGGAGGAACACCAGAGGCGAAGGCGGCGACCUGGACAGGUACUGACACUCAACUACGAAAGCGUGGGGAGCAAACAGGAUUAGAUACCCUUGUAGUCC